GAUGAACGCUGGCGGCGUGCCUAAUACAUGCAAGUCGAGCGAACAGACGAGGAGCUUGCUCCUCUGACGUUAGCGGCGGACGGGUGAGUAACACGUGGAUACCCUACCUAUAAGACUGGGAUAACUUCGGGAAACCGGAGCUAAUACCGGAUAAUAUAUUGAACCGCAUGGUUCAAUAGUGAAAGACGGUUUUGCUGUCACUUAUAGAUGGAUCCCGGCCGCAUUAGCUAGUUGGUAAGGUAACGGCUUACCAAGGCAACGAUGCGUAGCCGACGUGUGUGAGUGGUAGCCCGCACUGGAGCGUGAACGCGGUCCAGACUACUACGAGACGGCGCAGUAGGGUAUCUGCGGCAACGGUCGGAAACCUUACGGAAUAGCCCCGCGUGAGUGAUAAAGGUCUUCGGAUCGUAAAACUCUGUUAUUAGGUAAGAACAAAUGUGUAAGUAACUGUGCACGUCUUGACGGUAACUAGUCAGAAAGCCACGGCUAACUACGUG
rnacentral:rRNA from 1 species